rnacentral:lncRNA from 1 species
CCCGGGGCAACGAGGCCAGCGCUGGGCUCUCAGCCUGCCCCCCGCCCCCCCCCCAGCCACAGACACAGCCACACGCUGGGUAGCCCUGACGACCUGGGUGACGCCCAGGGAGCAGUGUGGACGCGUGGGGCGCCCCUUCGGCGCCGAGCGUCCGCUGCCCCCGGGGCCAGAGGUGGAGCCACCGUCUCUGAGCUGCAGACACGGCUCCAGGAGGAUGUGUGAUGUGCUCACUGGCACCGGCACGCACAAGGGUACCGGGACUUUCGCCUCCGUGUCAGUGAGAGCCACAGACGGUUUCCGGAGCUCGAAUAUUCACUGGCGGCUCCUCGGCGCCUGUGCAGUUGUGCGAACAUUUCCGAGAUGAGGGAAUUCGGCUCGUUUGCGUAGGGCCGCGCUCGAGGGUAGCUGAGCACCUGGCGGCCCGGCCCGCCGCGGCUCCUCGCGCCCAGGGCAGCCAGACCGCAGCCUGCUGCCCGGCCCCCCGGACCCCGCCCCCGGCGCUGGCUCUGGCUGGGGCGGCUCGCAAACCAGUGACGCCAGCAUGAGGCAGGCCGGAGGGCAGUGCGGGAAGGAGAACGUGUUCCUUCAGUCAUUCACUCACUUAUUCAGCAUCUGAAUCUGUAUCUGUUGACUCCCUACCUCGGGCCGGCACCGUGUCCUCACUGGAAGCACAGCCGUGAAGGGACCGACCAAACCCCAGCCCUCCUGGAGGUUAUAUUCCAGGCGUGAGAGCGACGUUUAUUUCAUACAACACGCGGUGUCGGCUGGUGACUGGAGCUCCGGGGCAGAACGAAGAGUCCGGGAGUGCGGAGGAGGAGGAGGCAGCCCUCCCCGCUCAGACAGCUCCUCACACAGCACUGCACGUCUCGGCCACCAGCAGACUCGGGACGAGCCAGGGCCUCAGUGUCCUCAGUGCCCAGACAGCGAGAGUGCCCCAGGCAGAGGGAACAGCUCGUGCAAAGGCCCUGAGGCAGAGAGACGGGUGUCUCAGGGACACAAGUGGCCAGUUUGGUGGGAGGCGUGGAGGAGGAGGAUGUCAGGAGGUGGGAGAGGAGGCGUGUCCUGACUCACUGGUCUCAGGCAGGAGUUUGGACUGGAUCCUCAGUGGGUCUGAGGAGUCUCUCCAAGGCGAGUGGUGCAGCGCCCGCUGA